CCUUCAGAGGGGGAAACCGCUGGAAACGGGGGGUAAUACCCCGGACGCUCAUAGAACUUAGAGGCUCUUUGAGGAAAGGCGAGGCGUCGAAGGAGGGAGCUGCGGCCCAUCAGCUAGUUGGUAGGGUAACGGCCUACCUAGGCGAUGACGGGUAGGGGGCCUGAGAGGGUGACCCCCCACACUGGGAGUGAGACACCGCCCUGACUCCUACGGGAGGCACCAGUAAGGGAUAUUGCGACAAUGGGCGAAAGCCUGACGCAGCAACGCCGCGUGUGAGACGAAGGCCUUCGGGAUGCAAACCGCUUUUCUGUGGGAAGAAGAAGGACGGUACCACAAGAAUAAGUCUCGGCUAACUACUUGCCAGCGGCCGCCGUUAAACGUACGAGGCGAGUGUUAUCCGGAUUUACUGGGUGUAAAGCGCGAGCAGGCGGGGUCGCAAGUCGUGCGUGAAAGCUCCCGGCUCACCGGGGAGACGACGUACGAAACUGCGGUUCUGGAGACAGGUAGAGGCGUUUGGAAUUUCUGGUGUAGUGGUGAGAUACGUAGAUAUCCGGAGGAACUCCUGUGGUGAAGGCGUCACGCUGGGCCUGGCAUGACGCUAAGACGCGAAAGCAUGUGGAUCGAACGCGAUUAGAAACCCCGGUAGUCCAUGCCGUAAUCGAUGCGUACUCGGUGUUGCGGUGUACAAACUGCAGUGCCGAAGCCAUCGUGAUAAGUACGGCGCCUGGGGAUUACAGCCGCAAGGCUAAUACUCAAAGGAGUUGACGGGGGGCCGCACAAGCAGCGGAGCGUGUGGUUUUAUUUGAGGCUACACGAAGAACCUUACCUGGGCUUGACAUCACGGUGGUAGCGAACCGAAAGGGGAGCGACCUUCGGGAGCGGUGACAGGUGUCUGCAUGGCUGUCGUCAGCUCGUGUUGUGAGAUCUUCGGUUAAGUCCGGUAACGAGCGCAACCCUCGCCGUUAGUUACAAGUGUCUAACGG
rnacentral:rRNA from 1 species